rnacentral:rRNA from 1 species
UACGUAGGGUGCGAGCGUUGUCCGGAAUUAUUGGGCGUAAAGGGCUCGUAGGCGGUUUGUCGCGUCGGGAGUGAAAACCUUGGGCUUAACUCAGGGCUUGCUUUCGAUACGGGCAGACUAGAGGUAUGCAGGGGAGAACGGAAUUCCUGGUGUAGCGGUGAAAUGCGCAGAUAUCAGGAGGAACACCGGUGGCGAAGGCGGCGAUCUGGGAAGAUAUUGACGCUGAGGUGCGAAAGCUAGGGGAGCAAACAGG